rnacentral:rRNA from 1 species
UACGUAGGGGCGAGCGUUGUCCGGAAUGACUGGGCGUAAAGGGCGUGUAGGCGGCCUGUUAAGUCUGGAGUGAAAGUCCUGCUUUCAAGGUGGGAAUUGCUUUGGAGACUGGCGGGCUUGAGUGCGGAAGAGGUAAGUGGAAUUCCCAGUGUAGCGGUGAAAUGCGUAGAGAUUGGGAGGGACACCAGUGGCGAAGGCGACUUACUGGGCCGUAACUGACGCUGAGGCGCGAAAGCGUGGGGAGCGAACAGGAUUAGAUACCCGCGUAGUCCCUGA